UAUAAACAUAUCUUCAAAUCGUCCAAGACCAUUUUCUGCUCAGGGUAUGGCUCUGUGUAUGACAGCAGCAAUGAUGCACCGACAUGGAACAGGGAAUGUGAUGGAGACAUAGUUUGGACAAUGUACAAGGAGACCUCACAUGGUCCAGUAUUGGGAGAGAAUGACAUUAUUGUGUGAUUCAACUCAGAGAGGGAGACAAUGUCAUCUGCCAGAGAAGAAACAGCCUAUUGCACUCUCUCUCCUUCAUUAUUCCCCAUCACAGUAACGUGUACGAGCUAAAACAAAAGUCUACUGUCAUUGUUACCAUUCUUAUUUUUAUAGAAUCCUGCAGUGUGGAAACAAGCCCUUCGGCCCAACAAGUCCAUACCAACCUUCCAAAGAGUAACCUUCCCAUGCCCUUACAGUUACCACUGACUAGUUCACCUAAAGUAGAAAUCGCUGAACACUGUGGACUAUUUGACCAACCCACUUGAAUUAUACAGCUUUGGGCUGUGGGAGGAAAUGGGAGCGCCCAUCAGAAGCUCACGCAGACAAGGGGAGAAGAUGCAAACUCCACCCAGAUAGUCGCCCGAGGCUGGAAUUGAACUCAUACCCCUGAUGCUGUGAUGGAACACUGCGAACUCCUGAGCCACUGUGCUAACCUGGAACCUCCUGACUGCCGAAUGCAAAGGGAAUUCAGCCCAAUUCCAACUGUCCCAGGAUAAAAUCCCAUUGCUAGCAGCUGUAUGCAAUGUUACUGGACAAACAACUCGGUGUGAAGCAUAACCCCAUUUGCUUAAAUACGAUAGAUGAAAUAAAACCAAAGAAAGAAGAAUUUAGAAUAAUGUAAUUAUAUUGGACAAGUUAACAGAACAAUAGAUCUAGGAACUAAUACUAAUGAACUGUUCCAAUACUGGAAAAUCACAUGAACACAGCCCUUGGAAAAAAGGAAUAUUCAGACACUGAAUGACACAAAUAUUUCUCCAAUUCAGGAUUUAAAAACAGCACCAAGAGAAAAUUCAUAGAGAGGAGCUGCCAGGAGACAUUCACUAAAACUUUCAACUCGGUGGAGACCCCAAUAAUUUCUGAUGUUACUGAGAAACCGAAACCCAGAAAUCCUAAUCUGUGAAAGCUGACCACACCCAUUCCAUCUGCAUUAAAAUAAACCCAAGGCAUCACUAGUUGUUUAUUCAAGUGAUCCUAACUAGCCAGCUUGGUAACGGUCAUUCAAUCUCUCUCUUAAAAUAAACCAGAACAAAAUAACUUCUUAAAGCUACAGCAUCAUCACACUAGUCAGCACAUCGAGCUGUCAUUCAGGAACCAGGGGUAACACAAUCAGGCCUUUGACCCAAUCGGACGAGGAAGAAGCCAGUCAGUCCCUUGAGUGACUUACACAGGAACAGUAGGAGGCCAUUCCCACCUCAAUGCACUUACACGGGGCAGAAUGAGGUAAUUGAUGCUGAUUCCUGAUGAACGGCUUAUGCUCGAAACGUCGAUUCUCCUGCUGUGCUUUUCCAGCAAACUACUCUGAUCUUCAGCAUCAACAGUCCUCGCUGUCUCCUAAUUGAUGCUCUAACAUGAUGACCAAGUGGAGCAGAGGCUGCACACACAGACUGCUCCACGUUGUUCCUCGUAGCUCCGUCUGUCAUGAUACACACGUGGGACUUUAACGUGGUUUUCUCGCGGUGAGGAGGGAAGACAUAUGUCUUGUGUGAAGUUACAAGAAGGCUCCUUCCAUCUCCGGGAAGCCAGCCUGGUGUUCUCUAUGUAGGGUGGAUGCUGAUGGGAAUGGCUACCUGUUUCAGAUGGAAGGUAUUGUGGCUGCUGUUGGGGAUUGUGAGCAACCUGACGUUCAGUUCGGGUUCACACGCCGACUACACAAUAACGUGGGGAGAGUUAAUUAAGGCAUAUAAACUAUUAGGAAAGUCACGUUAGACUGAUGGAUGGACUCUCUAAAUUCAAAUAAUGCUGAUCUUGUUCAUGUUGAUCUUGUCUAGUGCACAUCCUGUUCAAUGUAACCGUUAUGCCUUACUCUGUCCAAGUCUAUUUCCACCCUAUGAUCUGUCUGGCCAUGUUUACUAUGAUCUGCCUCCACUGCUCAUAAAUAAAGUGUUUCCCUGUACUGAGGUACACGUGACAAUAAAUCAAACCAAUAACUCC